UUAAUAUCUCAAUUUUUUCGAAAACUGCACUUGAGCGUCUUAUUGUCCUCCACAGUGGCGUAUUUACCGAGGGGGGGGGGGGGUAAGAGAAAUCAAGGGAGAGGAAGAAAAAUCGGGUGGAGAGAGAACAAGACGAUAUUUUCCACGCAUGCGCCAUAAUUAUUUGACCAAAAUUUUUGAAUGUAAGGAAUUGGAGAGUCUAACUAUCUUUUUUUUCCUCAGGGAGUUGGCGGAUUUUUUCCAUCUCAUACUUAAACAAAGCAUUCUAUUUGGUCUUUAAUAAACGAUUUCUAUUCUUUCACGGUCUUUUUGGGGGAAAAUAGAGGAGAGCCUCUUAUCAUUUCUCAUGAUUGACAUUGUUAUGAAGUUGGAUUUUACGGGGUCAAAAUCCUGAAAAAUUUCCGGGGAAGGCCCUCCGGACCCCCUGGUGGGAGGUUUGUCCCCCAGAAACUUAUCCUGCAUACGCCACCGGUCCUCCAGGCCCCUCAAUUCCACUUUCUCUUCCCAUAUACCGCGCAGUCGGUGAACCUGCAAGAUUUCGGUAAGCUUAACGGCGUUGGCAACGACCCUGCUGUUACCAAAUGAAAGCUCUCCUCUGAGCUGUUGUGUUGUAAAACGACACCGUUUUAUCAGCGCGCCCCUAUGGUACCUGGAGUAGCAUUCCCAGCCGAGCCCUGCGUUUUUGGAAGUCGGUUGGAGGAGGGGAGGAGGAGGAGCCCGCAGGCCGCUCGCCAGCGAAUUUCCACUUUCACUUACGGAGGAUUAACUAAUUCUGCAAUUUCAGCUCCGAUACGGGCGAUCGGGUCCUGGAUCCGUCGCUUCAGUCUGAUACAUGCUGCUCAUCCUCGACGGAUCAAUUCCAAUGUGUGAAGGUCGAUUCCAAUACAGUUGGGUAGAAUUUUACGAUUUACAUUAACGUUGCAAAGUGAACUGGCUGAACAUGAAUGCAGCUGACCGGAUCGACAAACAUCGAACUCAAAGAUUUUGGUAAGGAUAAAAAGAACGAUAAAGUUGUCAUUCAAUCAAGAUCUCUCUACAGCAGGGUAAACAUUGAUGGAGGAGGAGUUUCCAGUUCCAAAGAUACACUAAUGAGGAGAAACUCAUUUGAAACCCAAAGCACUAACAUACCUUUGAUUGAAACUUUCAGGGAAAAAUUUCAAGAGCAAGAAAUAAGAGCUAGAAAAACUGAUACCAAUGAAUCCGAAAAAAGUGAAAUUAAAUUUUUGAUUGGUGCCAAAAAGGUACAUGAAUCAUCCACAGAAAAGCAUCAGAUGGCUGAAAAGGAUGCAACUGUAGUCCGAUAUAUUGAUGAAAAAGCAGAAAAGAAGAAACAGAGCUUAUCUUCAGCACAAAAGUCAAGAGACGCAGGAUCAAAUAAUUUUACAAAAGCAUCUGCAUUAAAUAAGAUCUCAGAUCAAUUAAACUUGACAACCAACUCCACUAAUAUUGCGGCCAAAAACUCCUCGACUGAAAAAGUGACGAAAAAUGAUAUCAAGCCACAGCAACCUGUGUUGUCUGGCGGAAAACUCUCUCAGCCUUCAUUAAAAACAAAUAAGCCACUUAAAAAUGAUACAUCAAUGGUGUCUAGAUUUCGAAAACAAGUGCUAAACUGGCAGAGUCGAGGUCCUCCACGUUUUAGCAGUGUCGAUGCUUCACAUAGAAUUCCACCGACUCACAGCUACUCAACUCUUGCUCUUCAAGCACCAGAGCCAUUCUCACAAAAAAGGACCGAUUUUUUUUCACAAAGACCAUUAAAAUUAGCUCAGCCGUACCCUGCACAAAGUUUUAAACCCGGAACACCUGAAUAUUUGCCUGAUCGAGACUUUGGUCUUUUCGAUCGGCAAGACCAAGCAGGUCAGUUUAUCCUCAAGGAUACCUUGCUCAGCCACUACCAAACAACAGUUCAUAUUAUAACACGCCAGUUGUGA
rnacentral:lncRNA from 1 species